rnacentral:rRNA from 1 species
UACGAAGGGGGCGAGCGUUGUUCGGAUUUACUGGGCGUAAAGGGAGCGUAGGCGGGUUAUCAAGUUGGAGGUGAAAGCCCAGGGCUCAACCUUGGAAUUGCCUUCAAAACUGAUAGCCUAGAGUAUGGAAGAGGUAAGUGGAACUCCGAGUGUAGAGGUGAAAUUCGUAGAUAUUCGGAAGAACACCAGUGGCGAAGGCGACUUACUGGUCCAUGACUGACGCUGAGGCUCGAAAGCGUGGGGAGCAAACAGG